GGCUAUCUCAAUUUCAUGGGUAAUGAAUUUGGGCAUCCUGAAUGGUUAGACUUCCCAAGAAAAGGAAAUAAUGAGAGUUACCAUUAUGCCAGGCGGCAGUUUCAUUUAACUGACGAUGACCUUCUUCGCUACAAGUUCCUAAAUAAUUUUGACAGGGAUAUGAAUAGAUUGGAAGAAAGAUAUGGUUGGCUUGCAGCUCCACAGGCCUACGUGAGUGAAAAACAUGAAGGCAAUAAGGUCAUUGCUUUUGAAAGAGCAGGUCUUCUUUUCAUUUUCAACUUCCAUCCAAGCAAGAGCUACACUGACUACCGAGUUGGAACAGCAUUGCCAGGGAAAUAUCCUUUUUGUUACCAGUGAAUAUGACUGUCCACAUUCACUUCUUUAUUACAUUAUAGGACAAAAAAAAAAGACUAAGGUUGAUCUUGAUGACAGAAACAUUCAUUUUCCUCAUCUGAAAAAUGAGGAACUUAAAAUAGUUGAUGGAUAAAUCUUUGCUCGACUCAGUUAUACUGAAUUAUUCCUAAGCUUCAUUUUGGGUUUAAACAGAGGGGUUAGUGCAGACGUGGUUCACAUCAAAGGAAAGAGCUGUGGAUCUUGCUGUCCUGAAGGUUUCAAUAUGGAGCCCUGCUCUCCAGGUCCCCACAUCCACCAAUACAGAAGACAAUAAAUGAAGUCUUCUGAGAUAAUAGCAGAGGCUCUGGACUUAGGGGACCAGGCUUUAAAAAGUGUAACUGAAUAUUUCUUAAAUAAUAUUUCUUAAAUAAUGUUUAGAGCAGCAAUAUGGGAGACGAUUGUAGUUUUACUCUAUGAAAAUAUUUUGUAAGUUACCUCUGAGACUUGUUUCUUUUCCUCCACUCAG
rnacentral:sRNA from 1 species